rnacentral:sRNA from 1 species
CUGAAAGCCUGGGGAACUGAAAUCCUUCUGUCAUGCACAGAACAAACACAGCAGAGACAGCUGUAGUAUCAGCUUGCCUGCCCUGCCCAAGAGAUUGCAGUGCUGUUUGCUUGGUCACUCUUCUGUCCCUCUGCUGGCUCCACCUCCCACAAUU